ensembl:lncRNA
GUUGGCGGAGGGGGCGGGACCAGGGGGGGUCUGAGGGGGCUGCUGAUAGGCUGCCACGAAGGGGAGGGGGCCGGGGCAGGGGGCCCGUGUAAGAGGGUGAGACGGGGCCCCGGGCUGUGGGAGAGGGUGAGACAGGGCCAGGGCCCCUGGGAGAGGGUGAGACAGGGCCAGGGCCCCUGGGAGAGGGUGAGACAGGGCCCCUGGGAGAGGGUGAGACAGGGCCAGGGCCCCUGGGAGAGGGCGAGGGUGAAACAGGGCCAGGGCCCCAGGGAGAGGAAGAGGGUGAGACAGGGCCAGGGCCCCUGGGAGAGGGGGAGACAGGGUGAGGGCCCCUGGGAGAGGAUGAGACGGGACCAGGGCCUGUGGGAGAGGGAGAGGGUGAGACGGGGCCAGGGCCCCUGGGAGAGGGAGAGGGUGAGACGGGGCCAGGGCCCCUGGGAGAGGGGGAGACGAUGCUAGCGUGCCGCCGUAAGCCCCGGCUGUAAGACAGGCCGAGGGGCCGCCUGGGGGGGCCAGGCGGCCCAGAGAGGGGGCCACGGACUGGGGGUCUCCAUUGGGGACCCCCGUAGGGCUCCGGGACGGCGUGGAGGUGGGCAGGCGUGCGUUGAACCGUGCGGUCGUCCUAUUGGUCGGCUGACCGGACAGCUGAUUGGCUCUGAGAGGGAGGGGACAACUGAAGGGUUAACUUCCGUCGAGGUCGCCUGCGUGAAGAUUAUCAUCACAAAAACAACCUCAACACCGGUGAAGGUUCCUCAUCCGCUCCCUACCGUCGUGGUCAUUUCUCCAGAGAAGUUCUCCCGAUUUCUCUAUGCAUACUAUUUUAAUGCAUGCAUACAUUAGACCCCUGUCUAGCAGAGUGAGCACAGAACACCGUUAGACAGAGCUUUUUAAACUGUUUCACAUCCUCCCCACUUUGGAGAUGUCAAUAAUCACAUCAGGUCAUGUUUAACCAAGACACAGCGCUGCCUGGGUGUCUCUUUGUGUGUGUGUGUGUGUGUGUGUGUGUGUGUGUGUGUGUGUGUGUGUGUGUGUGUGUGUGUGUGUGUGUGUGUGUGUGUGUGUGUUCCAUAAGGAAUGCAUAAGGGGACGCCCUCUCCCUUGUGACCUGGUUUACCCAAGGUCAACAUUUAGCUGACCCUGAGGAAGGGCGCACAAUACAAGGAGACGGCUAAAAGGAAACCACUAACGGACUUCGGAGGCGACGCCCACCUACCCCUCUGCGGGACCGACUGAGCGCGGGGCGUGUGGGGCGCUGGGGGGGGUCAAGGCCGGGGAGGGGACGGCCGUUGGAGCUGGUGGAUCAGACAGACAGACAGACAGAGAGACACACACAGAGACACAGAGAGACACACAGACACACACACACACACAAACACACAGACAGACAGACAGACAGAGACACACACACAGAGACACAAAGAGACAAACAUACACACACACAGACAAAAAGAGACAAACAUACACACACUCAGACAGAGGGACACACACAAAGACACACACAGACACAAAGAGACAGAGACACACAGAGAGAGAGACACACACACACACACACACACACAAACAGAUAACACACAAACAGACGCAAAGAGACAGAGACACACACACACAGACAGAGACAGAGAGACACACAGAGACACACACAGAUACAGAGACACACACACACACACACACACAGAGAGACAUACACAGAGACACAGAGAGACACACACACAGACACAAAGAGACAGAGACAGAGAGACACACACACACACUUUUUAUAAGAAGGGGACAUGUUAACUGGUAUGCAGGGCUCUACACUAACUUUUUUUUUCAGGAGCACUCGUGCCCCUAAG